rnacentral:rRNA from 1 species
UACGUAGGGGGCUAGCGUUGUCCGGAUUUAUUGGGCGUAAAGAGCGUGUAGGCGGCCAGGUAGGCCCGUUGUGAAAACUCGAGGCUCAACCUCGAGACGUCGAUGGAAACCAUCUGGCUAGAGUCCGGAAGAGGAGAGUGGAAUUCCUGGUGUAGCGGUGAAAUGCGCAGAUAUCAGGAAGAACACCCGUGGCGAAGGCGGCUCUCUGGGGACGGUACUGACGCUGAGACGCGAAAAGCGUGGGGAGCGAACAGG